UCCCCCAAGUCUUUAGUCAAUAGAGUCUGUUGGCUGGAGACUUCAAAUUGAAUCCAUGUAUGGGCCGAAGUGGCGGUUGUUCGGAGGCGGUAUUUGUAUACCCUGCACUGAAGCUUUGUAGGUGAAGCUUUGCAAGUGAAGCUUUGAAGCUAGAGCUCUGUAAAUGAAGCUUUUAAAGCUAGAGCUUUUGUAAAUGAAGCUUUUGAAGCUAGAGCUCUGUAAAUGAAGUCUUUGAAGCUAGAGCUCUUGUAAAUGAAGCUUUUGAAGCUAGAGCUCUUG
rnacentral:lncRNA from 1 species